rnacentral:rRNA from 1 species
UACAGAGGGGGCAAGCGUUGUUCGGAAUUAUUGGGCGUAAAGGGCGCGUAGGCGGUGCGGUAAGUCUUUUGUGAAAUCUCCGGGCUCAACUCGGAGUCUGCAGGAGAAACUGCCGUGCUUGAGGAACCUAGAGGUGAGCAGAACAGAUGGUGGAGCGGUGAAAUGCGUUGAUAUCAUCUGGAAUACCGGAGGCGAAGGCGGCUCACUGGGAGUUUUCUGACGCUGAGGAACGAAAGCCAGGGUAGCGAACGGG